UGGGUUGUGGCUCAGUGGUAGAGCACUCGCCUAGCAUGUGUGAAGCACUGGGUUCUAUUCUCAGCACCGCAU
rfam:Ictidomys tridecemlineatus contig109280, whole genome shotgun sequence.